GGAGAGGUGGCAGAGCCUGGCUGAAUGCGCCGCACUCGAAAUGCGGUAUACACCUAGUGUAUCGGGGGUUCAAAUCCCUCCCUCUCCGCAA
rnacentral:tRNA from 1 species